GUUGUCGUGACGCUACCGGAAGUGACCCGGCGCCGUUGCCAUGCCGACCACCGCCGCUUCACCCUCCCCGCCCGGUCGCCGCCCGUCGCGAUGGAGGCGGCGGGGAUCCCGGGCCGCGGCUGGGGCUCGCCCAUGGGCAGGCCGGCUCGGUACAGCACAGGAACGCGGGAGCUAGUGAGAGCCACGAUGGAGGAGCUGCAUCUGACGCAUUCUCAGAAGCGAUACCUGAUGGACUAUGUGAAACGAGGCGAUGCCCUGCCCCUUCAGAGAUUCCCCCCGUCCAGCAAACAGCCAGUGCAUGUUUCCUACCCAGCAGCCUGUCAGCCAUGCAGGCUUCCAGCUAGACCGCUUCUCCGACCUGCCAAGGUCUGCCAGGCAGAAGAUGCCUACACCCGAGAGAAAUUCAAACCACAGCCCAUACGAGAUUUGGAAAAGGAGAAGAGAAGACUUCAAAACAUCUUAGCAACAGGGAAGGAUGAGGUAGAGGACAAGGUGAAGCAGGUGUUCGUUCAGAAAAAGGAAGAGGAGAUAGCUGCGCCUGACCAGUUUGAAGAAUGUAUGUCUUCAUGUCCCCAGGAGGGAGGCAGGCAGGAAGCCUGGGAAGCCAGCUCCCUCCUAGGGCUGGGGUGGCAGGCUGUGUUGCCCAUUACACUGUGUAACAUGAAGCCCAUUACAGGAGCAGCCACAAAGCCCAGUUUCCAAGAGAAAAGACUCACUGCUGUGACACUGAUCCAGCCAUCCUCACAGAGCUUAUAUUGCUGAGGUUGGCUGGCAGAUAGCUCUCUGGGCUGCCAGCACAAAAUGCACCCUGCUGGCAGGGGAAUAGCCUAGGGAUGUGCAGGGAUAUCUGGGAAACAAGCUCAGGUGCUGCUGGUCCCUUUCCCAGCAAGCCUGACUCAACACAGACCAGGUCACUUGACAGCCUGACCACAGUUUGGGCCCUUCCACUCCAGGAUCACAGCAGUUAUAUUAGCAAAGCUUCAAUAUCAAGCAGAAUUUGAAGCAGUAAAAGACUUUGGCUUGUAGAGUGUACAGUGAUAGCAAAACCCUGCCAAAUACCUCUCUGUGCUUGAAUCUUCAUUGUGUGUGUACAGCCCUACCAGCCUUUUGCCAGCCAGGGCAGCACAAAGACGGGCAAUGCCAGAAUUAAGUGUACAGAAGGGGUGCUUUGGUCCCUGCUGCAGGGAGCCAGUGCAGCUGGUUGCACACACGCUUGGUUGCCUCCAACACUUGUCACAAGCUGAAUGUUGUCCUUGACACAUCUGUGACAGGAUUUGGAUCAGCUGGCUGCAGGUCUGUGCUGCAAAGCAGCAGCUGAUGAUCCAUGCCUGGUCUUGGAUGGUUGCAGUCACUGGGUGUUGUGUGUCAGUUAAUGAACCUCAACAGCAGGUUCCGUCUCCAUCCACAGACUGGUUAAAUUGCCCACAAGCAAAAGAGAACUGUCUACAUAAAGAAAACUAGAAAACUGUUGUUCCUGGGAGUCAGGGGGUGUGAUGAAUGAAAUUCAAGAGAGGAGGGAAUUCCUGGCAGAGAUGGAAGCUCUAGGACAGGGUAAGAAGUAUCAAGGGAUCAUCCUCACUGAAAUCUCACAGGUAUGCA